rnacentral:rRNA from 1 species
UUCGUAGGCGGUGCGGUAAGUCGGAAGUGAAAUCUCUGGGCUUAGCUCAGAGGCUGCUUUCGAAACUACCGUGCUAGAGUGCGGGAGAGGCGAGUGGAAUUGCAGGUGUAGCGGUGAAAUGCGUAGAUAUCUGCAGGAACACCCGUGGCGAAGGCGGCUCGCUGGACCGCAACUGACGCUGAGGAACGAAAGCUAGGGGAGCAAACAGGAUUAGAUACCCUGGUAGUCCUAGCCCUAAACCAUCAGGACUUGGGGUGGCCCGCGUUGGCGGGUCGUCCCGGAGCUAACGCGUUAAGUCCUGCGCCUGGGGAGUACGGUCGCAAGGCUGAA